UACGUAGGGUGCAAGCGUUGUCCGGAAUUAUUGGGCGUAAAGAGCUCGUAGGCGGCUUGUCGCGUCGUCCGUGAAAACCUGCAGCUCAACUGCAGGCUUGCGGGCGAUACGGGCAGGCUAGAGUUCGGUAGGGGAGACUGGAAUUCCUGGUGUAGCGGUGAAAUGCGCAGAUAUCAGGAAGAACACCCGUGGCUAAGGCGGCUCUCUAGUACGGUACUGACGCUGAGACGCGAAAGCGUGGGGAGCGAACAGG
rnacentral:rRNA from 1 species